rnacentral:lncRNA from 1 species
AAAAAUCUUGAAGCCUUGAAGCCACCUGCAGGGCUGUUGUUUUCCAAGGCCUUGCACUUACGUAAUUGACAUCUACAUAGACACACUCCUGGAACAUAUCGGGGGAGGCAGGCAUUCUGCUUGUUCUCAUUUGUUCUCAAAUUACAUGAUAAAAUACAUGUUUUGGACCUUUUAAACCAAAGGGAGUUAUUGAGCCCGCUUACAAAAUCCAUAACAUGUUAGCAGGACUUAUCUAGCUGCCUCCACAGAAUAGCCAAGCAACUCUACACCCGCUUUAGCCCCCACAAAAACAAGCGGAUUGCACUACAAAUAAUUUGCCUAUUUGGAAAAUGAAAGCUUCUCUGUAGUUUGAGGUCCUAUUUUUUCUUUAAGUUGUUACAGUCUUUUCAUGGUCCUUGAGGUCUAGGUUAGGUUUUUGUUUGGGGUAAUUUUUGUAUCCUAUGGAUACUAUUUAAUCUUUAGUAUUGAGUCAGUAUUUCUCACUUAGGCCUUAGGGGAAUACUGCCUGAAGUAUGUAGGGGGCAUGCGGAAUUCAGACGUGGCUUGGAAACUGCACCAUGGGUUCACCCAAGAAACAGACCAGAGGCAACACAUUCUAUCACUAAAACGUGUUCUCAGUUACACUUCCCUUCCAAAGAGGAGAAAAUAUACAAAGAGAAGAUGAAGAGACAACCAAAGAUUAUUUGUGCCCAUGAGGGAAACACGAAGGAUUGUCAGUAUUCAUUUGCUAUCAGAACUGCCUUUGAACUUCAGGGAAGCCGCCAUCUUGUUUUAGUUCACUCCUCUAAAGCACAGUGUCUGCAACAUGAAACACUAGUAAGACACAGUUAUCCAGAAAGAGCCCUAGAGAUGGAUAAGGAACCUGUUGGAAUGCUCUGAUAUUAAGAAAAAAAAAAUUAAAUUCAAAACCAAAAACAAGUCACAAGGGAGUUUUAUGCCUAUGUAAUCAGUGCAGACAGCCGUUAAGUAAAUGAAGAGGCAACUAACAAUGUCAGAAAAGAGACCGGGCGGUUCCGGCUGACACUACCCUAAUCUUCCAGGACCCAUUAAAUGGUAGUUUCAACGCAUUACCUACCAUAACAUCCUUGAAUAUCACUGAUUUUAUUUGCAGUAUCAAACAUUCCAUUUCAUGCCCCAUUAACAGUGGGAGCCUGGGCUUUUUGACGCAGCUAAACAUUUUACUAACUACCUGGACUAAGUAACCAAUUAACUUUUGGAGACAAUACGGCCAAUUAAGCGCGAAAAGAAAAUUUGGAAAACAGGCUUUUCCUAUCCGGAUGAACAGAGAUAAUUUGUGUCGAUGGAUGUUCUGUGAAGGCCUAUUGUGUCGAGCAGCGUAUUAAAACAUAAACAUGGCUCUUCCCCCAAGAAACUUACAUUUCAGUAAGGGAGCCUGGCCAAAAUGGAAAACUGCAAGGUUCAAAUCCUGGAGUGCAGAAGAAGCAUUAGGCAUUGACCCUGUGGCUUCCUAAUAGAUCCGCAAAGUGCUUUGUUCCUGGAAAUCAUCCGAUGAGUAGUUCAGUGCUAUUGUAUAUCUUGUUAGAGCAGCCGAAGUGCCACAAAAUGAACUAAAAUCUCCCUGCAGAGUUGCUGUAUCAUAUGCUGAGAACAUUCGGAACUUUCAACAAAUUCAUGUUACGAUCCUGGGUAGCCAUGGUUAAAUCUGUACAGGGGUUAAAUGAGAAAUAUGAGCCUGCUGUUAAGUGUCUUCUGAGAGUGACAAAGCUCUGGCCAUAAGGGAUGGGAGAGGAGGGAUUUCUUCUCAGCCUUCCAGCCCUUUCCAGCUGUAUCACAGACAGGAGACAUAAUGCAAAGGGGCUCAGACAUUGACUUCCUGGAUCUUUGCGGCCCCAGGCAUUGACCCCCUCUACCUGGCUUUUCCUACGCUGUAAAAUGAGGAUCCUCCUAUAUUAUGGAGUUUAUUGUGACAACUAAAUAGCUGAGAAGAAGGACAUCUCAUUUGUUUUAACUAUGCAGUUUCCUGUCUAUCUAUCUAUCUAUCCCAUCAAUCUAUCAAUCAAUCUAUCAAUCUGUCUAUCCCUAUCUAUCUAUCCAUCUAUCUAUCUAUAUCUGUCUAUAUCUAUCUAACAUUUAUCUAUCAUCUAUUCAUCUAUCAGCUAUCUUCUGUCUAUCAAUAUUUCAAUCAAUCUCUCUAUCCCUAUCAAUUAAUCUAUCUACCUACCUAUCAACUAUCCAUCUAUCUCUAUCAUCUAUCAUCUAUUCAUCUAUCAUUUAUCAUCUGUCAAUCCAUCUUCCUACUAUCUAUCAAAAGCAACACAUUUUCUUCCUGACUUUAAAAAUAUUUAAGUGGGCCGGGAGGAUGGCUCACGCCUGUAAUCCCAGCACUUUGGGAGGCCUAGGCGGGCGGAUCACGAGGUCAGGAGAUGGAGACCAUCCUGGCUAACAUGGUGAAACCCCGUCUCUACUAAAAAUACAAAAAAAAAAAAAAAUUAACCAGGCGUGGUGGAGGGCGCCUGUAGUCCCAGCUACUCGGGAGACUGAGGCAGGAGAAUGGGGAGAACCCGGGAGGCGGAGCUUGCAGUGAGCCGAGAUCAUGCCACUGCACUCCAGCCUGGGCGACAGAGCAAGACUCCAUCUCAAAAGAAACAAAAACAAAAACGUAAGUGAUACUCUGUCCACUCUUUUGAUUGAGGAGGUCUGAUUUUCAGGCUUUGGAUUUUAUUAUGUCUUCAAUAUAAUAAUUGUUCCAUGUAUCUCUCCUAAAUUGCCAUUUGAAAAACUGCUUUUCUGAAGUUUAAAGUGCACAUUUUGAUACAUCUUGACACAUAUAUACACCCAUGAAAUCAUCACCACAAUCAGGAUAGUAGAUCUAUCCAUUACCGCCAAGGUUUACUUGCACUCCUUUGAACUUUCUCCCCACUCCUCACCCCCUGCCUAUCCCCAAUCCUUAAGCAAUCACUGAUUUGCUUUCUGUCACUAUCAGUUAAUUUGAAUUUUUCAGAAAUGUAUAUAAAUAAAAUCAUUCGACGUGUAUGCUCUUUUUCUGUUCACCCGGUACAAUUUGAGAUUUAGCCAUGUUUUUGCAUGUGUCAAUAGUUUAUUUUUUUGUUGCUCAGUACUAAUCCAUUUUAUGGAUACAGAGAAAUGUAUUAAUGCAAUCCCAUAUUAAUAGGCAUUUGGGUUGUUUCCAGGUUUGGGCUGUUACAAAUAAAGCUGCUAUGAACAUUUUUGUGCAAGUCUUUUUAUGAGUAUAUUCCUUUAUUUCUUUUGGGUAAAUACCUAGAAGUGGGAUGGGUGUAUCACAUGGUACGUAAAUAUUUAAAUUUUUAAGAGAAUGCCAAACUGUUUUUCAAAGUAAUUGCACCAUUUUAUAUUCCCACCAGGAAUAUAUGAGAAUUCCAGUUCCUCUACAUACUCACAGACAUAUUGUAUGGUCAGU